AAUUAGCACUGGUCCGGUGGUCAGGGACCAGUAGAAUUUGUGUCGGACCAGUAUAUUUUGUCACCUGGUGGUCCGGCGGACCAGUAGAAAUUUGUCGAUAAAAUCCCUGAUUGCAUUUUUUUUACAAAACAAUUUACCUGCGAAAUCAAUAACAUGGUACUGGAGGUACUAAGUAUUACAAUUGAUUAAGUUUUUAUUAAUAUCGAGGUUGAGCGUCCUUCACGACAACAGAAAAUGUGGAAAUUUUUUAAAUGAGUCAAAUCGACGGAAAAAAUAAAAUAAAACCAGAUGCGACCGCAGAGGUUGAACCCUGAACGGUUGGGGCAAGUAUGGACACAACAUUCAAGCUGGAUUCAGCUCUAAAUUUGGAUUGUGAUUAAAUAGUCGACACAGCAUAGGUUUCUGACACAGAAUGAAUGUGUUAAAAUGAACUUAAAAUUUUUGUUUUCUCUUAGAGCAAUUCACUAUGCUGUUGAAUAUUAAUCCUCUCAAAAAAAUGUUUGAAGAAAUUUUCUUUUUUAUUUAUGAAAUUUCAAAUGAGAAAAAU
rnacentral:lncRNA from 1 species